AGCGAACGCUGGCGGCAGGCCUAACACAUGCAAGUCGAACGGAUCCUUCGGGAUUAGUGGCGGACGGGUGAGUAACACGUGGGAACGUGCCCUUUGGUUCGGAACAACUCAGGGAAACUUGAGCUAAUACCGGAUGUGCCCUUCGGGGGAAAGAUUUAUCGCCAUUGGAGCGGCCCGCGUCUGAUUAGCUAGUUGGUGAGGUAAAGGCUCACCAAGGCUACGAUCAGUAGCUGGUCUGAGAGGAUGAUCAGCCACAUUGGGACUGAGACACGGCCCAAACUCCUGCGGGAGGCAGCAGUGGGGAAUCUUGCGCAAUGGGCGAAAGCCUGACGCAGCCAUGCCGCGUGAAUGAUGAAGGUCUUAGGAUUGUAAAAUUCUUUCACCGGGGACGAUAAUGACGGUACCCGGAGAAGAAGCCCCGGCUAACUUCGUGCCAGCCGCCGCAGUAACAC
rnacentral:rRNA from 1 species